rnacentral:tRNA from 1 species
CAACCCCUGCGCGGUGCGGAUGGCGUCGGCAGUGGUCUUGUCGCGGCUGGGAAGCGUCGGCAGCGUUUCGUUGUUCGGGUUGACGAAGUUGA